UUUAGGGUUUAGAAUUUAGGGUUUAGGGUUUAGAGUUUAGGUUUUAGGGUUUAGAGUUGAGAAAUGAGGUUUUGGAGAUAAGAUUUCAAAUUUUGAAAAAUAAAAAAAUUUAAAUUUUUCAAAAGAUAAAAUGCUAUUUUGGUCAUUUUAGUUUUUGAGUACUAUUUUUGUGAUAUAAACUUAGAAAUGUGCUAUUUUGAAGAUUUGCCCUAGUUAAAAUUCUGAGCAAGAAAGAAAAUAUCACCGAGAAAAAAUAUAUAUAUUUAUUUACCGUAAACGAUACCCGAAAUCGCAACCAACAGGAAUGACAACGAAGGAGACAACAUCGACAAAGACGUCGAUGGCAUGCAAGACCAUGCGAACUUUGUUUUCUAUUGAUUUGCCAUUUUCUGAUUAUUAGAUUUUAUUUUGACAACUUAGUAUAACUUUCUAUUAAUGAUCCAUCGUAUAAUCUUUAUACGUGGUGAACUGGUGAUCGUAUUGAUUAAUACUAAUGGAGUUUUGUUCCGUUAAUACUAAUAGAGAUUUUUUUUGCAAUGUCUUCCCUAAACUAAUAUAGAUUUGUUCCUGAACCUAUAAAGUCAUCAUAGUAUAUAAAUGAUAAACAUACCAAAUUUCAUUGUAAAAAGAGGGGACUUAUUGCGUAUCUACAAAGUAGGGUCACAUAAAUGGUAGGAUAUGUUGGGAGAAACAGAUGGUAGGGAUUAUAUAUGAUUAUAUGUGUUUGGUAAAAUGAGGUUCGAAAAUGCUUAUGAUUAUGUCGACCCAGAUAAGGAACUAGCCUAAUCAUACCCUAUUUUGAAUUAGAUUAGAUCUUAAUAUACAAGCAAACAAACAAAAAAUUGUUUGCCUACAAAUUCAAGAAGGGUAAAAAACUAAAAACAUAGGAAAUCAUGUAACAAGAUAAUAUAUAAAAAUAUCAGAUGGUUAAUUAGGCUCAAUCCUUGAGCAUGAUUAAUCAUUGACUUAGUCAUUUUUAUGGUGUUUGUCACAAUGCGCAUUAUAUAUUUUUCCUAAACUCCCAUUUCCAAAUUGAGUAAAUUGUACAUCAGACACUCACAAUUCACCUUAAAUUUCAUUUUCUUUGGCUAAAAAACUCUCUAACAUAUGAGUCAAGCUAGCAUUUGACAAAUAGUUCACGAGCAUAAAAGAUCAAGGAUUGUAAAUAUGGAUUAAGGAAGUGUCACCAAUUCAUAAGUGUCAAGAGAUGAUCUUCUUGAAGAGAAGCAAGAUAGAUUCUCUUAUCUUAAAAACAACUAAACUAAAAGAGACUUAAGUCUACUAACGUCUCUUAAAUAAAAUAGAUUAGGAUCAUAUACCGAACCGCGUCGGUUACAAGUACCGUCACUUAUUGGUCGAUCAUUACAAAGUAUCACUGGUCGAACACUUCAUUUAUUAGUUUGUUUUGAAAUGUUUGGUCGAUUAUGUGGUGAUGUCUUGGUUGAUCACUUCAUUUGAAUAUUUUUCUGGCCCAUCUAACUAGUACAAAUGUAUAGAGAUUAGAGAGUACAUUAUAACAAAGAUGAAAAAUACCCAAAAACUUAACAAGAAGUAGAUUGUUAUUUAUUACUUGGGUGGAAUUCAAAUGGCCACGAUGUAGCAAAGAAUAGGGACAACUAAACCUGUACAAGUACAACAUGUAGGGGUAUAAAUGUAAUUAAAAAUCUGUAAAAAGGACAGAUAGAUACGUAGAUAAAAAGGUGAAGAGGGUCUUAAAUUGGGAGUGUCAUAAAUUACAAAGAACCCGAGGAUCAAGGGCGACUUUUUAUUUUCUUUCUUUCUUCGUUUUUAUUUCAAGAUUUGUGCUGUUGUUUUUUUGGUGAACACGCGAGAGAACAGUCUACAUCUAUAGAUACAGCAAUAGAGAAGAGGCUAUAGAGGCACACAUCGCAAGUAGACUGGGGCAGGACCCGGACAAAACGGGUUACGAAUCCAAAUACACAAAUGGUUAAUGCCCCGACAUAUGUUUCCUAUCUUCUUUUGGAAAGUCUCGACCCUCACGUUCCUUCUUAGCGCGUACUCUCCAUUCUUGUGAGAGCCCUUCAUUCACUUUUCUUUCUCUGGAGAUUUUGCAGAAACAAACCCCACACUCAUUCAAUGCUUCUUCCCUUACGUUUUCUUUUGUUUAAUCGAGGGCUGAAAAAACGUCCUCCCAAUAUUAAUGUUUUAGGACUGAUUGAUAAACUAUCAACAAAUAAUUAUCUCGAUGACAUAUGAACAAACGAACAACUCUUUACUUGUAUUUUCUCUUAAAAAGAUUACGAAAAUAUCUCUCUUGCCAAACAAAAAAAUGAUCCACGUGAUCGGUGUUAGAAUGAAGUUAAGCAUGCACUGAUGCACUACAUAUAAUUUCACCUUAAAAUGAACACAUUUCUAUAUGUAUUAAUAUAUAUUUGAAUAAGUUACUCUAUAUGUUUUAAAAUAUACGAAGUUUUAAGAUUGUGCACAACUAUUAAAAAACUUAUUUUUUAUCUUAAAAAUAUCACUAAAAUAUAAAUUAAAAGUUAUUCAACCAAUUACAAAACAAAUUGAAAAUAUCAUUGGUUACACAAUUUUUGAUAAAAUUAAAAAAUGCAUUAAUAUAUGAAAAUAUAGUCUAUUUUGAAACAUCAAAAAUUUCCUAAAAAAUCGUUUAUCUAUAAACAGAGAGAAUAUUAUGUUUGCUUUAAUGUUGUAUAAUAUUGGUCUUCUAGCAAACACAAAUGCAUGGAAGCACCGUAGCCUAAUGGUUAAGAUUUAAAGGUUUUUACAUCCAGGUCUAAGGUUCGAAUCCUAGACUAUGCAAUUUCUUGCAGAUUACAGGAAAUCCAGGUUUCAAGUCCCGGAGAGAGCGAUUUAUUAAAACAAUUAUGAAGACUACAGAAGAAAUGCUUACAAGGAAUCUUCAGCAUGGUGCAAGUAAAUCUGGCCAUGCGUGAAUCUUCAUAGGAUGGCUCAGGUGAUACAGUUAGACGUAGGUCCCCAUAAGGCAUGUAGUAAUGUCGGUUGUCGAAUUGUCUAUGUAAUCUUUCUCUUAUCAUAAUCAGCCUUAGAAAAAAAAAAAGCAAACACAAAUGUUGAAAUAUUGAUUGCUUUGCUAUCACGUGAAAAAGGUAAAGAAAAUGGUGUGUGCUGAUUUUAUUUUGUUAUUGAUGUUGGCUUAUGUGCGUAUGUUAACUAUACUAUGAUUACAGAUUUGACAAGAUUAGAAACUAUUCUCAGUUGAUAACACCAUGACUUGAUUUGUAAGAUAUUUCUUAACCACGAUUAGAGAGUUGAUAAGAUUAAAAACAUAAUCAGUUGAUAACACCACGCUUGAACGGUGAGAAGAUAUUUAUUAACGAGGUGAGACAUAAUUACAAUUUACAAAUGACUUGACAGUAUACAACUAAAACUGUCCUUAGGCUUUUUGCAUCACUAUUUUCACACGUCCCCUUUUAAAAAUUGUAAAUGCUAAAACGCCACAAAUAUUUAAUACUAUAGUAACGAGUUAUGUGCGCGUGGAUGUGCAUAAAGUGAGAGGGUGAUGGUAUUUUGUUUCUAACAGAGUAAAUGAUUUUCUUAAGAAGAAAACUUUUACUUUAGUUUUUUUGACUGAUUACUAUUUCGGGUCUUUAAACGCAGCUUUAAUCAGCUGUGUCAGUGCCACCCACCGCACUAAGAUUGAUUCAUAAUUGGAUAGUGCGUUUUCAAUUUAAUGCAAAUUUUAUUUUAUUUGGUUCAAGAAAUCAAACUUGCUUUUAUUUGUAAAUAGUCUUUCCUUCUCAGGGCAAAAUUGAAAGUAGUAUAUGUUUAGAUCACUCGUACACUAUAAACGAAGAGCGUUACAUUUUCGAUUAUAUAGUACUAGAUGGAUCAUGUUAAAAAAAAAAAGUACUAGAUGUAUCCCUAGCUUUCAUUAUAAAAUGCCUUUCAUAACAGAAUUUAUUAUUUUGAUAAUUUUUAUUUCAUAAAAUAAAAUAAAUAAAGAAAUGCACAAGUUCAACGAAUUUUAAUCCUCUAUAUUUCAACAAUAUUUUAUUACUUUUUUAUCUUGCUCAAACAGCUAACUUUCCCAACAAGUCAAAACACCAUUUUCUUACUUUUAGCAAUAUACUGAAGUCCCGUUUACGUACAAAAAGUAAACAUAAGUAUUGAACAAUACGUCCCUUUUUAAAAGGAAAAAUAAUAUGCAUGUUAGUUAUUUAAAAAAAAACUAUAAAUGAAUAAAAGCUCUUUGUUCAAAAAAAAAAUACAAGGUCAAGAAAUAUUGGCGUAUUUAACUCCUGUCAUUAGUGCGACCAUAAGCAGAUAUACCAAACAAAAUAUAUUAAAUCGAAUUAUUAUUUUUCAUUCAGAUACAAAGACGAAUUAAAAUGUCCCAUAGGCAGCCGAAUACGAUUUCUCAAUUUAUGGAACUUUUGCUGUCAACACUUUUUUUUGGGGUCAAACCUUACUUCGUUACUUCAAUUGAGCUAUAUCUCCAACUGAGAAUUGAGAAAAAGUUGAAAAAAAAUGUUAAUGAAGCUCGGAGAUAGUUCAUCAUCGACAAAUUCUAUGAAUUUAACGAGGACCUUGGAAAAAGUUUGGGAUCAAACACACUACUUGCAAGAAGCAGUAUGACCAUUUCAAGCGGCUGACUCGCAAGAGAACUAGACUUGGUUAUGAUCCAUCUGGGUUUAUAGACAUGUCUGAUAAUUGGUGGAACGAGUUGUGUAAGGUAUAGUUAAUUAGCUAUUUUGUUCAGUUUGUUUGAUAUUGUUUUUUCAAGAUCUUCGAACAUAUUAGAGGGUUCAAUGUGACUAUUAUCACAGACGCUUUGAUAUGUGUUACACAGACGCCUUGCAGACAUUAAAUCAGCUCACUUCGACUUCGAUUGCUAAAAUUUUGACGUGAAUACGCUUGCUAGUUGUGAUAUGUUCCAUACUAUUAGUUUUAGCGUCUAAAUGGCAGCUCUUGUAUUGGUUUCAGGAAUGGCCAGCAGCAAGAAAGCUUAAAGAGAAGCAAAUUGCGAAUAUGAACUUGAUGGAAAAAGCGUUUGGAACGGUUCACAUAAGUGGAGGUGAAAGAUGGAUUGCUCAGCAAGGCGAAGAGCAUUUGGAUCAGCAAGGCGAAGGUCAUCUUGAUUAGUAUCAUGAUGAUGGUGAUGCUGAAGACACAAAUGCUACAUAUAGGCAAAUUCCUCCUACUCAGGAAACCAAUGAUACAAUUGAAUCAAGAACUACUAGCCCAUCAUCUUCAAGUAGAACAAAAACUAACAGAAAUAGAUCAAGGGAUGCAAGUAGGACAGACUGUAGCAUAUGUUCUUUCUGACAAGAAAAAAAAUGAUAGGGUGUCAUCCUGAGUUCAUUUGUAAUCAGCCAGAGCUAUGGAAGUGUUACAUUCGAUGUCUGCUACCAGGAUUUGAUCUCUAUUGUACAAAGCAGCUAUCAACCAUCUCAAGCAAGAUGCUAAUAAUCGUCAGACCUUCUUUUUCUAUGAAGAGGAUGAGAACAAAGUUCUCUAUUUGGAGUUUGCUACUGGUGAAAGUAGAGAUGCUUGAAGACUAUGUUGUGUUUGUGCUUCUGUUUGUGUUUGUGUUUUGUAUGAACUCUAGUGUCGUUUUGGUUUGUGUUUGCUA